GGUCUGCGCCGUGGCGGCUCCGAUCACCCCGGGGCAGUGCCCGUGUUGGCCCCGUACUGUGUGACCGACCCCGGCAUGCCUCCCGUCCGCUGUGCAGCCCCAUAGCCCGUCCGACCCCGUGUCUGCACCUGGAUUCCCCGAAACCCCAACACGGACAAUGCAGAACGAGAGCGCCCUUCUGCUUCCUCUUUGUAUUCCCAUCCCAGAUCGUGGGGACGCGCUGUGUGGGGCAGGCAGCGUUCUGAUGGACGCAGUGAUGGGAAUUUGGAGCAUUGUUUCAAAGCAGCACCCGGCAGAGCUCCAGUCACCAAAGCACCGCGCGUUUCCUUCCUUCUGCUUAUCAGCACAGCGCCUGACAGUGCUGGCGGCAUUCCUGGCCAUAAAGGGGGCUGUAAUUAACGACCUAACGAUGCAACUGGUUUUUGCAGGUGGAGGGACACUGGGGUCAGCCACCUUUGGUCACCGUGGAACCAAAUACAUUUGGAACAUGCCAUCUUCUGUGCAGCUGAGAAUUGCCCCCCACCCCAGUACCCCAAACGGACGCCAACGAGAACAGCCGUCCUUCCUGGCAGCAGGGAGCCCUCCUGACCCAUCGCAUGGCCAUGCCGUCGCCGCGUGCUCACGAGUUCUUUUUUGAGCAGCACUACGGCUGCGUGCCGGAGCGUUUCUCCAAAGGCUGGGUGGCAUCACAUCUCAACAAUGCAAAACCCUUCGUACCCACUUGGAAGAAUCGGAGAACCUUGGAAAAUUCUGAGCUGGAAGGAACCAUCGUGAUAUUCGUGUCCAAUUUCUACCUCCAUACAGGACUGCCCUGAAAGAAGAUAAGGAGCUCUAUCAGCUGGUGGCAAAACCAUGGGCUGGCAGGGUACCAAGCUUCUGUAGGAUAACAUUUGCUGGCACCUUGUCACAGAGCUGCCAACAGUGACAUGUUCUGUGUCACUGCAGCUGAUCCCACUGCUGCCCACAGUGGUGGGAGGGCUGUGAGCUGGGAGUGGGGACCAGUGGGAGGAAAUGGGGACCUCUGGGUGUGCUGUGCGGUGUGGGGGGAGGCAGAAUUGUUGGGGGAAGGGAAAGGGAUGGGCACAGAAGGAAUGGACUAAAGGUUGGCGUGAAAGGAACAGGGUGAGGCAGUGUGUAGGUGUCAGGCAAGAUGAUCAUAGAGGUCUUUUCUGACAUUAUUGAUUCUAUAGGGCUGGGAGGGGAAGGAAAGCUGGAGCCUGAAGGCAGGCAGCUUGUUUUUGCAGGGCCCAAUUAGGGAUGUAGAAAAAAAUUCCCAAAGUGUUGGGAUCUGCAGCUGUCCUGCUCCCACACCCCAUGACCUUACUCUGAAUGAAGCACACAUCAAACCCGAUGCUGCAGGAAAGGGAGCUCUUUGGGGUUCAGUGCUCUGUGGGAGGAACCAUGGGGUUAGUGGGAAUGGCCAUGGAGAGGAGUGGGGAAUGGUUCUUCUUUGUAUCGGUGUGGUAAUAACAGCAGGAAUUCCACCUGCAGGAGCUGACAGAGCAGCUCUGUCCCCAUUGGAACCUCACGUCUUUCAGCCCGUGUGUAACUCCACGAUGGGCCAAAGCUGGGGGAGAGGGAUCUGAAUUCAGUUCUGUCAGUGGACCUGGAUCUUGUUUUUCUGAGACUGUUUUUGUUGUUGCAGAUGAACACACAAAAAGGAAGAGCUGUCCUUCAAUGGCAGUCAGUGCCCACGCAGAGCAGUGAUCCUCAUGGGAUGGUCACAAAGUGCCUGGAUACGUUCAGGAGGAGAUGUGUUGCUCUUCAAACCUGUGCUGCUUUGCUUUCCUCAUCCACACGUCCGUGCGUCUCUCAGCAAAAGGGUCUUUGGAAGAAAGAGUUGGGAACAGUGCAGGUGAGGGGGGCUCUCUGCUCACGUCUGUGCAGUGCAGGGCGGUGUGAGUGCUCCCAACGGAGCAGCAGCUUCUCAGCUUCAUUCCCUGGGUCAUUGCUGUGAACCAGAGAGCAUCGCUGGGUGGUCCUGAAUGGGAGCAGUUCCUAAAUUGGCCCAAACGAAGCAGUUCAGCUGUGUAAAUCCUCUGCCUGAUGGAAAGCAGCGCAUUUAGGACUCCACAUAUCCUUAGAGAUGUUUCUAUGGGGCAGAAAUGGGGCCUGGUCUGUAUUGGGAACAUCAUCCUGGAGAACAAUGGGGUGAAAAGGGAUGCAGCUGAUUCAGUUUCCUUUGGUAGGUGUGUCUACGUGCUGGCAAAGGGCUGAAUGGAAAUGUGCUUGCAUUACCACAUUUAUUUUAGCAUUGGAACAGGCUGCCCAGGGAGGUGGUGGAGUCUCCUGCUCUGGAGAUGUUCAAGACCUGCCUGGAUGCCGACCUGUGCGACCUGCUGUAGGGAACCUGCUUCCUGAAGGGAGGUUGUGGUGCAAAAGGUUCUGGCCUCUUCUCCCAGGCAAAUAGUAGGACCCGAGGAAAUGGCCAGAAGUUGUACCAGAGGAGGUUUAGGUUGGAUAUUAGGAGAAACUUUUUCUCUCAAAGGGUUGUCAGGCACUGCAAUGGCUGCCCAGGGAGGUGGUGGAGUCGCCAUCCCUGGCAGUGUUCAAGAGGUGCCUGGAUGAGGAGCUACGAGAGAUGGUUUAGUGCUUGUGGCACUGAUAGGAGUGGGGGGAUGGUUGGACUGGAUGAUCUUGCAGGUCAUUUCCAACCUUGUGAUUC